rnacentral:lncRNA from 1 species
UGUCUUGAAAAAACAACAACAACAACAAAAAACCAACCAAACAAAAAAAGACUUUGGAUUUUAAAAGAAACCAUGGAUAUUUUAAAGAGACAAUUUUUGAAGUAUUGUAAAUGUAAAGACUGUGAAACUUUUAAAGUACUAUGUCUAUAUUGUGAUAUUAUUAUUAUUUUUAUACUGUCCAUAAUACUUUGUUGGUUUCCUAUUGACCUGGACCCAGCUGGGUGUGCUCAGGGCAAGAUCACUGUUCACCAUAUUCCAGGUGGGUAAUGAGAAAGCCUCAACCUAGACUCCAGCCCCUUCAGAGUGUGGAGGAAGAGCCUGCGUUUUCUGGGCCAGCACAGGACAUCCAGUCCCUGUAAAUAAGCAGGCCCGGGGAGCGAACCAUGCCUGAGAGGAACCCUGCCCAGUGCCAUAACAGCACCCCUGAGACCACUCCCAAGAUGACCCAGGACACCAGAGACCCUGGGUGCCACUAUGAGGAGCAAGUAAGUGGCAGAGAAAUGGAAGAGAAACAGAGGAGGUGUGUUGUGGGUAGCCCUAGGGCUAAUUAUAUUUGAUGUUAAAUCUGUUCUGUGAGUGUGAACAAGGAAUGAAUCAGCACUCAGGUGAUUUCCUGUAAACCUGCUUCCCUCCUUAAUUUGUAAAAUAAAGGCGAGCUGAUUGGGCAGAUAAAAGGGAAGGUGGAGCGGAAGGGGAGAGGGAGAAGAAGAAGAAAAUAGAAGAGGGAGAGCAGGCAGAGGAGGAGGAAGAAGAAAAACAGCACAUAACCUGAGAAACCGGCAUAAUUGGGUUGGAGAGAUUUACUGCAACAGAGGUGGGCACAAUGAAGAGAGGCAGAACUGGAGACACAAGGAUAGUGAGGGUCAACCUGAUGGUUAACUCAUACUUGUCUUCUAGACUUAGCCGGCAUCUCCCUGUCCAGAGAGCCUCUGUCGUUUGCAAGCUGAUGCGGUGUCUUCCUGUGGGGUCCCUGGGAGCUCACUCACCCUUGCCUGUCUCCCGUAGCUUACAGAUGCUUUAUGCAGCCGCUGUGUUUCCACCUUUCCCUGUUGUUGGACAGAGAGUCUUGAGGGCAGACCCUGCAUGUCCAAGCACUUUAAUCCUUCACUAACAUUUCCCACGUCAGCCCUUGGGAAGCAUUGGUCGGACUGGAUCUGAAUCAGCACUUGUCCAUUUGCCAAAUGGAGUUCUUGUAUACACUGCUCUGAAAUGAGCAGAGUUUAAAAAUAAAGUAAAAUAAAACCAGA